rnacentral:rRNA from 1 species
UACAGAGGUCUCAAGCGUUGUUCGGAUUCAUUGGGCGUAAAGGGUGCGUAGGCGGCGCGGUAAGUCGGGUGUGAAAUCUUGGAGCUUAACUCCGAAACUGCAUUCGAUACUGCCGUGCUUGAGGACUGGAGAGGAGACUGGAAUUACGGUGUAGCGGUGAAAUGCGUAGAUAUCGUAAGGAAGACCAGUGGCGAAGGCGGGUCUCUGGACCAGUUCCUGACGCUGAGGCACGAAGGCCAGGGAGCAACGGG